GACUACAUGAAGCCGGAAUCGCUAGUAAUCGCGGAUCAGAAUGCCGCGGUGAGUACGUUCCCGGGUCUUGUACACACCGCCCGUCACACCAUGGGAGUCGGAAAUGCCCGAAGUCGGUGACCCAACCGCAAGGAGGGAGCCGCCGAAGGCAGGUCCGGUAACUGGGGUGAAGUCGUAACAAGGUACC
rnacentral:rRNA from 1 species